CCCAUUUCACACAUGACUGAUGAACUGACAGAUAAGAAGAGGUUUGUUUGUUUGGGUAUAGCAGUAAGGAGCUAAAAACAAGCCAGGAAUAUCAACUCUACUUCAGUUGUCUCCUCCAGUUUUUCUUCCUACAUUCCAUAUGCUACAUUUGGGAUUUUACGGCAAAAGGGAGCCGAGAUUCUUAUUUGAGAACUUUAAUCAAGUUUUCUGUCUGGGAGACACGGAUUAGCAACUUGGUUUUAUUUUGGUUUCUGCUGUGUAUGUAAGAAUGUGAAGAGACAGUGAGCUUGAAAUGUGCACAAAGACACACAGGGUAUCCAAAUCAGAUCUGGAGCCUAUGGCUGAGSGUCAGGAUGUCCAAGAGAUGGAGAUGUCAUCUUCAAGAUGUGUACAUGAGAAAGCUGCAAUUAAGUUCUUCCGGAAAUGCUAGAAGCAGUGAAAUGUUGCUCAAUCUAUGAAAAUGGGGCCAGAAAAUCUCUACUCACUGUUGUAUCAGGUGUGACCAGAACAUUUUUCUUUGAUACGUUUUCGCAGGUCAAAGUGUCACCUUCAAAAAGAAAGUAGGCAAAAAAGCCGUGGAUCAGUCAUAAUUAAUAUUUGCCACAAUGUUCAGAUUUUUAAGCCGAUGAAAUAAGCAUAAGCUGUUCCCAAACAACCCACAUUCAGACAAUGUAUGAGAAACACACUGACAGGGAAGAAUCGAUAGAAACAAAAGAUGAGAAAAGGUACACCAUGCCAAUAUUAAUUAAAAAGAAAGAAGUGGCCUAUUAAUACUGGAUAAAGUUGGCUUCAGAGCACUSAAAAUUACCAA